rnacentral:rRNA from 1 species
GAUGAACGCUGGCGGCGUGCCUAAUACAUGCAAGUCGAGCGAACAGACGAGGAGCUUGCUCCUCUGACGUUAGCGGCGGACGGGUGAGUAACACGUGGAUAACCUACCUAUAAGACUGGGAUAACUUCGGGAAACCGGAGCUAAUACCGGAUAAUAUAUUGAACCGCAUGGUUCAAUAGUGAAAUACGGUUUUGCUGUCACUUAUAGAUGGAUCCGCGCCGCAUUAGCUAGUUGGUAAGGUAACGGCUUACCAAGGCAACGAUGCGUAGCCGACCUGAGAGGGUGAUCGGCCACACUGGAACUGAGAUACGGUCCAGACUCCUACGGGAGGCAGCAGUAGGGAAUCUUCCGCAAUGGGCGAAAGUUUGACGGAGCAACGCCGCGUGAGUGAUGAAGGUCUUCGGAUCGUAAAACUCUGUUAUUAGGGAAGAACAAAUGUGUAAGUAACUAUGCACGUCUUGACGGUACCUAAUCAGAAAGCCCCGGCUAACUACGUG